UUCAGACAUUCUCCAGAGUCUCUGUACUGUCUUGUUGAAUAUUGUUGAAUCUGUAUCUGAUGACUGCUGUUCAAUUCUGC
ensembl:snoRNA small nucleolar RNA MBII-202